UGGAAAGUGGAUGGGUGUGAACAACGUUGGCAUUGGUGGUGUGGCAUCAAUUGAACAUGCAUAAACUUUAUUGCUCUAACCAUCAGCCCAAGAUUGCCAUCACUAAAGUGGCCUUGUUAAACAGUAAAAGAAACGAUCACGGUAUAACUGGCAAAUAGCUGAGGAUUGUACAGAUCUAUUACGAUUUUUUGCUUACCCAAGCAUUCGUCGCUAAUGUAGUAUUUAUCUCGGUAGAACAUGCCUAGCGGGACAUGAGAUAAACAAGGGAUGCCUACGGUUAACGUCAUCCAAUCCAUAAUGUACGUUUGACCACACCGUAUUGUACUCAAAGAAAUCUGCUGGUGACGCAAGUAGUGCUAGCAUCCGACUGAGUACUACCACCAGAGAUGACGGCUAAUAAGGACAUCCCAAAGAAUGUUCGAAUGAAUUUCUUUUAAAACUAAAGAAGGAAAGCAAACAACACUUUAAUGGGCGUGACACGAAGACCGGUUUUCUAAACCGUAACGCGUGUAGACUAUAUGUUGCUCAAAGAGAAACCGCGUUCCAAUACUU